UGCCAGCCGCCGCGGUAAUACGAAGGGGGCUAGCGUUGUUCGGAAUUACUGGGCGUAAAGCGCGCGUAGGUGGAAUAUUAAGUCAGGGGUGAAAUCCCGAGGCUCAACCUCGGAACUGCCUCUGAUACUGGUAUUCUAGAGUCCGAGAGAGGUGAGUGGAACUCCUAGUGUAGAGGUGAAAUUCGUAGAUAUUAGGAAGAACACCAGUGGCGAAGGCGACUCACUGGCUCGGAACUGACGCUGAGGCGCGAAAGCGUGGGGAGCAAACAGGAUUAGAUA
rnacentral:rRNA from 1 species